CCAUCCGUGCGGCGCUUGGGAGGGUGCUGAUACCCUGCAGGCGUUCCCCGGAAGCCAGUCGGCGGGCUUUCCUGCACUUUCCGGUUUAACCAGGCUAAAUUUUUGCCUGGGAGAUAGUCACUCCCGGGAAAACGUCGCCGGCAUUAGUCAUGAAUUUAUUGGAAGAUGUUUAUACUUGGAAGAACCUAAGUAUAUGAAUUUACUUUUUUGACUGAAAAUUUUGUGAGAUCCAGAUGCCGAUGAAGUACUUCCAGUGAAAGUGUCUGAGUAUGAAAUGUGAGGGAAAUGAUCCAAGAUGGCCGAUCGCUAACAUCCCGGGAUUGCAGCUCUCAGUGAAGGCGCGGAGAACUAGAGGACGCCACACUUUCAGACAAAUUCUGGUCGCUCACGGAGCAGAAGAUCCCCAGUGGAGGAAACACACGGGUCGCCAGUGCGACUCUCAUGGCUGGCGUAGUGGUUCCACCGGCACCUAGGCACGGCAGCUCUCGGAGCAGAGUAAACAGGUUCGGAGGACCUGCAUGGGCCCCCAGCACAACACCAGAGCCCAGCGCAGCGGCUGUGAUGGCACCUCAGUGCAGCAGCACUCGGCGCAGAGUAAAAGGGACCGGUUCCCCUUCUGACCAAGGUUUGGAGCCCCAGGAAGGCAGAGUCGCCUACUACGGACACAAGAAGGAAGCCUGACAGGAGAAUCCUGGGAAGAAAAGCACCAUCAGUUUUAACGCCGCUGCUCUGGCCCUGGGAACUAACAACCUGGACGCCCACUCAAGAGACCUAAUCUGAAAGUUGGUAAAUUCAAAGACGAUAGAAGGAUAAAUUUACAAUGACGGGAAGAAACCAGUGUAAAAAAGCUGAGAAUACUCAAAAUCAGAAUGCCUCUCCCUCUAAAGAUGAUCACAGUUCCACAUCGACAAUGGAACAAGGCUUGAUGGAGAACGAGCCCAUCCCAAUGACAGAAGUACUCUUCAAGGAAUGGAUAAUAACAAACUUUGGUGAGUUAAAAAGAACAUGUUGCAGCCCAAUGUAAAGAAACUAGGAACUUUGAAAAAAGGUUUGAUGAAAUCCUAUUGAGAAAACUUAGAGAGGAGUAUGAGUGAAUUAAUGGAACUGAAGAAUACAAUACAGGAACUCCAAGAAGUAUGCACAGGUUUAAACACUCGAAUUGUUCAAGCAGAAGAAGGGAUAUCAGAGGUCAAAGUCCAACUUAAUGAAAUAAAACGUGAAGAAAAGAUUAGAGAAAAAAAAAUAAAAAGGAAUGAGCAAAGUCUCCAAGAAAUGUGGGACUAUGUGAAAAGACCAAAUUUACGUUUGAUAGGUGUACCUGAAUGCGACGGAGAGAAUGAAUCCAAGCUGGAAGAUACCCUUCAGGAUAUUAUUCAGGAAAAUUUUCCUAAACUAGCAAAGCAGGUUAAUAUUCAACCCCAGGUAAUACAGAGAACACCACAAAGAUAUUCCUCAAGAAGAGCAACCCCAAGGCACAUAAUCGUUAGAUUCACCAGGGUUGAAACGAAGGAGAAAAUACUAAGGGCAGCCAGAGAGAAAGGUCAGGUUACCCACAAAGGCAAGCCUAUCAGACUUACAGCAGAUCUCUCAGCAGAAACUCUACAAGCCAGAAGAGAGUGGGGGCCAAUAUUCAACAUCCUCAAAGAACAGAACCUUCAGCCCAGAAUUUCAUAUCCAGCCAAACUAAACUUCACAACUGAAGGAAAAAUAAAAUCUUUUAUGAACAAGCAAGUACUCAGAGAUUUUAUUAUCACCAGGCCUGCUUUACAAGAGCUCUGAAAGAAGCAUCACACACAGAAAGAAACAACCAAUAUUAGCCUUUCUAAAAAUAUACCAAAAAGUAAAGAGCACCAACAUAAAGAAGAAUUUACACCAACGAAUGGAUAAAACAGCCAGUUAACAUCAAAUGGCAGUAACCCUAAAUUUAAAUCGACUAAAUCCCCCAAUCAAAAGACACAGCCAAAACCCAAUGGCAUGUUACAUCCAGACCUGUUUCACAUGCAAGGAUACACAAAGACUCAAAACAAAGGUAUGGAGAAAGAUUUACCAACCAAAUGGAGAGCAAAAAUAAAUAAUAAAUAAAUAAAAAGCAGGAGUCGCAAAUCUCGUAUUGGAUAAAAUAGAUUUUAAAGCAACAAAGAUACAUACAGUGGUAAAAGGAUCAAUGCAACAAGAGCUAACGAUCCUAACACCCAGAUACAUAGAGACUUAGACUCAAUGAGUCAGAAAAUUAAUAAGGAUAUCAAGGACUCAAACUCAGAUCCGGAACAAGUAAACUUAAUAAAUAUUUAUAGAGCUCCCCACUUCAAAUACACAAAAUAUACAUUCUUGUCAAUACCUCAUCACACCUACUCAUAAGCUUAAAUGAAACAUUGAUUGGCCAUUAUUAAUACCCAAUUUUUUUCAGAAUAAAGCAAUAUUUCCAUUUUCUCUCCCUCUUUCUCUUCCUCUCCUUUACUUAUGUUUUUUUCUUUCCUUCUCUCAAAAAAAGAAAUCAACUUGUAAACCUCUAGAUCCAGGUCGGCAAUGUCUCUCUCAUUGCUUGAUUUCCUUCCUUCCCUUCCCUUCCGUUCCCUCCCUCCCUCUCCCCUUCUUCCCUGCCUUCUUUCCUUCAUCCCUUCCUU